AUUGAACGCUGGCGGCAUGCCUUACACAUGCAAGUCGAACGGCAGCACGGGAGCAAUCCUGGUGGCGAGUGGCGAACGGGUGAGUAAUACAUCGGAACGUGCCCAGUAGUGGGGGAUAACCCGGCGAAAGCCGGACUAAUACCGCAUACGACCUACGGGUGAAAGCAGGGGAUCGCAAGACCUUGCGCUAUCGGAGCGGCCGAUGUCAGAUUAGCUAGUUGGUGGGGAAAAGCCCACCAAGGCGACGAUCUGUAGCUGGUCUGAGAGGACGACCAGCCACACUGGGACUGAGACACGGCCCAGACUCCUACGGGAGGCAGCAGUGGGGAAUUUUGGACAAUGGGCGCAAGCCUGAUCCAGCCAUGCCGCGU
rnacentral:rRNA from 1 species